rnacentral:rRNA from 1 species
AACGAACGCUGGCGGCAUGCCUAACACAUGCAAGUCGAACGAGACCUUCGGGUCUAGUGGCGCACGGGUGCGUAACGCGUGGGAACCUGCCCUUAGGUUCGGAAUAACUCCCCGAAAGGGGUGCUAAUACCGGAUAAUGUCUUCGGACCAAAGAUUUAUCGCCUUUGGAUGGGCCCGCGUUGGAUUAGCUAGUUGGUAGGGUAAAAGCCUACCAAGGCGACGAUCCAUAGCUGGUCUGAGAGGAUGAUCAGCCACACUGGGACUGAGACACGGCCCAGACUCAUACGGGAGGCAGCAGUGGGGAAUAUUGGACAAUGGGCGAAAGACUGAUCCAGCAAUGCCGCGUGAGUGAUGAAGGCCUUAGGGUUGUAAAGCUCUUUUACCCGGGAUGAUAAUGACAGUACCGGGAGAAUAAGCUCCGGCUAACUCCGUG